GAUGCUCGAUUGAGGUACUUUUUAGAAUCAAGUAACAUUUAAGCUCUACGACAUGGUGCUGCCAUUUAAGAGAGUGGUACAAUCCAGUGAUCAAUAUCAAAUUUUAUCUUCUAGGCUAUGAAACAGACUCAUUAAAAUUAAAAAAAAAGAAAAUUGAAAAAAUUUUAAUCGGGCAUAUCUCUAAAUCUAGCAAGAAUUAAGUAGGGUGGCUAAAAGCAAAGACUAUAUGAGUAUCAAGAUUCAUCUUCAAUAAGAUUUUAGUUUUUUUAUAAUUAGUUAUACUGAUUUUGAAAAAUAUUAUGUCCUCUUUUAGCUAAAAGAAAAAUUGAUCCGAAUUAUCAAUUAUGGGAGUGCAAAUCUCACUUAUAGAUUGUAUCUCCGUUUAU
rnacentral:lncRNA from 1 species